CCAGUAAGACUGUGGGGGAUAAGCUCCAUUGUCAAGAGGGAAACAGCCCAGAGCACCAGUUAAGGCCCCCAAAUAAUUGCUAAGUGGUAAAGGAGGUGGGAUUGCAGAAACAAUCAGGAGGUUUGCUUAGAAGCAGCAACCCUUUAAAGAGUGCGUAAUAGCUCACUGAUCGAGUAAACCUGCGCCGAAAAUGAACGGG
rnacentral:rRNA from 1 species